AACGUAGGAGACAAACGUUAUCCGGAGUUACUGGGCGUAAAGGGCGUGUAGGUGGUUGUGUAAGUCUGGCGUGAAAUUUUUCGGCUUAACCGGGAAAGGUCGUCGGAUACUGCAGAACUAGAGGACGGUAGAGGCGUGUGGAAUUCCGGGUGUAGUGGUGAAAUGCGUAGAGAUCCGGAGGAACACCAGUGGCGAAGGCGGUUCUCUGGGACGGUACUGACGCUGAGACGCGAAAGCGUGGGGAGCGAACAGG
rnacentral:rRNA from 1 species